rnacentral:rRNA from 2 species
GAUGAACGCUAGCGACAGGCUUAACACAUGCAAGUCGAGGGGCAGCAAUUUGUAGCAAUACAAAGUUGGCGACCGGCGCACGGGUGAGUAACGCGUAUGCAACCUACCCACAACAGAAGAAUAAUCCGGCGAAAGUCGGUCUAAUACUUCAUAAAACAGGGACACCGCAUGGUGUUAUUUGUUAAAGAUUUAUCGGUUGUAGAUGGGCAUGCGUACCAUUAGGUAGUUGGUGAGGUAACGGCCCACCAAGCCUACGAUGGUUAGGGGUUCUGAGAGGAAAGUCCCCCGCACUGGUACUGAGACACGGACCAGACUCCUACGGGAGGCAGCAGUGAGGAAUAUUGGUCAAUGGGCGAGAGCCUGAACCAGCCAAGUCGCGUGAAGGAUGACGGCCCUAUGGGUUGUAAACUUUUUUUGCAGGGGAAUAAAGAUAUUCACGUGUGGGUAGUUGUAUGACCCUGCGAAUAAGCUCG